AUGUUCGAGUAUCUAAAUGUUGUCAGCAAGAUGUUUGAUAGUGAGGCUGAAGGCUAUGAAUUCUACAACAAAUAUGCUCUUGAAAAAGGUUUUAGUGUGAGGAAAAGCUAUGUUGAGUGGGAUGGAUCCAACAAAUACAUAAUUUUAAGGAAAAUUGUGUGUAGUCGUCAAGGGUUUCGCGAAGAGAAGCACAUGAAAAGAAAGAUGGAAGAUAGAAAGAGGAGGCCACGAAGUUUAACUCGUGUUGGGGUGUAA
rnacentral:rRNA from 1 species